rnacentral:tRNA from 1 species
GGCGCAGUAUCCCAAUUGGCAGAGGAGCAGGAUUCAAAAUCCUGAUGUUGUGGGUUCGAGUCCCACCUGCGCUAC